rnacentral:rRNA from 1 species
GACGAACGCUGGCGGCGUGCUUAACACAUGCAAGUCGAACGGAAAGGCCCUGCUUUUGUGGGGUGCUCGAGUGGCGAACGGGUGAGUAACACGUGAGUAACCUGCCCUUGACUUUGGGAUAACUUCAGGAAACUGGGGCUAAUACCGGAUAGGAGCUCCUGCUGCAUGGUGGGGGUUGGAAAGUUUCGGCGGUUGGGGAUGGACUCGCGGCUUAUCAGCUUGUUGGUGGGGUAGUGGCUUACCAAGGCUUUGACGGGUAGCCGGCCUGAGAGGGUGACCGGCCACAUUGGGACUGAGAGAGGGACCAGACUCCUACGGGAGGCAGCAGUGGGGAAUAUUGCACAAUGGGCGGAAGCCUGAUGCAGCAACGCAGCGUGCGGAAUGACGGCCUUCGGGUUGUAAACCGCUUUCGCCUGUGACGAAGCGUGAGUGACGGUAAUGGGUAAAGAAGCACCGGCUAACUACGUG